rnacentral:misc_RNA from 1 species
GAUGAAGAACGUAGCGAAAUGCGAUACUUGGUGUCAAUUGCAGAAUCCCGUGAACCAUCGAGUCUUUGAACGCAAGUUGCGCCCGAAGCCAUUAGGCCGAGGGCACGCCUGCCUGGGCGUCACACGUCGUUGCCCCCCCAUCUACUCCUUCGGGAUUGCGGGGGGCGGAUGAUGGCCUCCCGUGCGCCUCGUCGCGCGGUUGGCAUAAAUGCCAAGUCCUCGGCGACACACGCCACGACAAUCGGUGGUUGCGAAACCUCGGUUGCCCGUCGUGUGCGGUCGUCGCGCAUCGAGGGCUCGAAAAAAUUGCCGGGCUCCGGCUCGGCUUUCAACGCGACCCCAGGUCAGGCGGGGUUACCCGCUGAAUUUAAGCAUAUCAAUAAGCGGAGGA